rnacentral:snRNA from 1 species
GGAUGUGAGGGCGAUCUGGCUGCGACAUCUGUCACCCCACUUAUCACCAGGGUUGAUUCAGCUGAUCUGGCUGGCUAGGCGGGUGUCCCCUUCCUCCCUCACCACUCCGUGUGCAUCCUGCCUGAAGCUGCGCACUUGGUCGAAGAGGAUGACCAUCCCCAAUAGAGGAGGACCAUUCUUCUGGGUCAAGGGUAUACGAGCAACUGCGCUCCCCUGCUAGAACCUCCAAACAAGCUCUCAAGAAAGAAAGAACUUGCCAAGCAAAUUAAUAACAUAAACAGGAUUUCCCAGAAGAAUCUUUAAUCCAUGUUAUCCUUU